rnacentral:rRNA from 1 species
GACCGUGCAAAGGUAGCAUAAUCAUUUGCCUUAUAAUUGAAGGCUAGUAUGAAUGGUUUGACGAGAAUUGAGCUGUCUCUUUUUGACUAAAUAUAACUUUAUUAAUAGGUGAAGAAGCCUAUUUUUUAUUGAAAGACAAGAAGACCCUAUCGAGCUUUAAAGAAUUUAGUAGAUCUCAUAUUAUAUUUAUAGAAAACAAAGCUGCUAAAAAUUUUGGUUGGGGCGACUGAGGAACAGAAAAAGCUUCCUUUAUUAAAUGAAAUACCAGCAAGUAUUGAUCCAAUAAAUUUGAUUAAAGAAAUUAGUUACCGUAGGGAUAACAGCAUAAUCCUCUUUGAGAGUUCCUAUCGAAAAGGGGGUUUGUGACCUCGAUGUUGGACCAGAAUAUCCUGAAGAUGCAGCCGUCUUCAAUGGUUGGUCUGUUCGACCAUUAAAAUUCUACGUGAUCUGAGUUCAGACCGGCGUGAGCCAGGUCAGUUUCUAUCUUCAAUUUUUAAAAUGGCCUUAGUACGAAAGGACCAGGCUAUUACAAAGGUAACUUGUAACAUUUAGAUUAGAUAUAAAAACCAGUUAAACCUAUAGGUAUCAAAUUAGCAAAGAUUAAUGCAAUUGACUUAGGAUCAAUAGACAUAGGUGAAAUCCCUUUAUUUGAUAAAUAA